GUAGGAACAGAGUCCUUCCAGAAGAUGUCGUGACCAGUUAUCGACGGCUUCGGAAUCAGAGGGAAUUGAUCAUCUUUCCCUUCUGGGAUUCCUCGGAAGAUUAGUGAUGUACCGUCUGCUGUAUGUAUGAAGAUUAUGGUAAAAGAAAAAUCCAACCUUUUUACUGCUAUACUCCCAGCAUGACUCUAUGAUUUGAUCGUUUUUUGUAGUAAAUGAGCUGGAUCUCUGGAAAUUCUGUAGAUAUUAGAGUUUCUAUCAGACCAGUUCACGUUGAAAAUAUCUCAGCAGAAGUAGAUAUUUGUGGAGAUAUUACUCUGCAGAUUUUCAUGGAGAUCCAUUCUCACAGAAGCAGUUAGAUUCUUAUUGUCUACAAGGGAAAUUUUUCAGAGAGUGACAUUGAUGGUUAGGUAGGUGGAGAAGUUAGAAGGUUUAAUGGAUCAAAAAGGUACAAACGUAGAAGCAAUUUAAGAGCAACUUUGGUUGAAUGUAAGACCCCACAACUCCACAAAUCCAGAUUUAUGUGAAGGGCGCACAAGAGUUAGCUGAGUAUAAUUGAAGUAUUGAUUAAAGAGCUGAUAAUAUCGAGAGAGCUUCAGAGGACGAUAGGUUCACUGGAUUUGCUGAAGUAAGGAACGAAGUGGUACUGCAAAUUAAACUAAUCAACCAAGUUUAAUGUAAUGUUUCGCCAGAUUUAAACAAAAUAAUUAUAAAUUGACACUUCGUA